rnacentral:rRNA from 1 species
GCUCCAAUAGGAUAUAUCAAAGUUGUUGCAGUUAAAAAGCUCGUAGUUGAAUUUCUGGAAGGUAGAAGUGUUUUUUUAGAGAAGCAAUUUUUUAUUAAAGACACCGCUUUCCAUUUUGUGGAUUUCUGUUUUGUAUGAAGAUAGUUUACUCUAUUUUUAUAUAAAAUACCACUCCGUCACUGAGAGCAAAUUGGAGUGCUCAAAGCAGGCUUUAUUAGCUUUGAACAUUUUAGCUUGGAAUGACAAGAUAUGACUUUUGUUUUAUUUUGUUGGUUAUGAAAUAAAAGUAAUGAUUAACAGGAACAGUUGCGGGGGUACUCGUAUUGAAAGGUCAGAGGUGAAAUUCUUGGAUUCUUUCAAGACGAACGACUGCGAAAGCAUUUACCAAGGAUGUUUUCAUUAAUCAAGAUCGAAAGCUCGGGGAUCGAAGAUGAUUAGAUACCAUCGUAGUCCGACGCCAUAAACGAUGCCGACUCGGGAUUAUUUUGUUCGUUUAAAUUAAAAAAGAACACAAAGUAGCACCGUAUGAGAAAUCAAAGUCUUUGGGUUCCGGGGGGAGUAUGGUCGCAAGGCUGAAACUUAAAGGAAUUGACGGAAGGGCACACCAGAGGUGGAGCCUGCGGUUUAAUUUGACACAACACGGGGAAACUUACCAGGUCCAGACAUGAUGAGGAUUGACAGUUUGAAAGCACUUUCUUGAUUUCAUGGGUGGUGGUGCAUGGCCGUUCUUAGUUGGUGGAGUGAUUUGUCUGGUUGAUUCCGAUAACGAACGAGACGGGGUGAAUUUACUAGUUUGUUAUAUAAUUUACGUUAUAUAAGACUUCUUUAUUCGACAACUUGGUUUUACCAAGAGGAAGCGCCCCGCAAUAACAGGUCUGUGAUGCCCUUAGAUGUUCUGGCUACACGCGCGCUACAAUGACGAAUUCAACGAGUUUAAAAUUCAUUCCUCAUCCGGAAGGAUGUGGGUAAUCUUUUCAAUAUUCGUCGUGAUGGGGCUAGAUUUUUGCAAUUAUUAAUCUUCAACGAGGAAUCUCUAGUAUGUGCAAGUCAUCAGCUUGCGCAGAAUCCGUCCCUGCCCUUUGUACACACCGCCCGUCGCACCUACCGAUUGGACGAUCCGGCAAGAUGUUUGGAGUUGUUUUGAUUGUAGAGUAAUUUAUGAUGAAAAUGACAAAGCUCUU